CUCUCAUCGUGGUGCCAGUGGUGGGCUCAUUAGGUGAGCAGAUUCUUCCCAGGGACAGAAUAGCUCUGAACAACAGGGGAUAAAAUCACUUAUGGUUAAGGCAGAUACAAGGGCGGCUCGACCUUCUCCUGUGCCGAGGUCCCUGCUUCCGUGUUGCUAUUCUCCCAACGUGGGCUGAAGCUUCAGAAUGUUACAGAUAAUCGAAG